GACGAACGCUGGCGGCGUGCUUAACACAUGCAAGUCGAACGAAGUGGCGAACGGGUGAGUAACGCGUAAUCAACCUGCCCUUCAGAGGGGGACAACAGUUGGAAACGACUGCUAAUACCGCAUACUGAAGGAGGGGAUUGCGUCUGAUUAGCUAGUUGGAGGGGUAACGGCCCACCAAGGCGAUGAUCAGUAGUCCGUCUGGGGGGGUGAACGGCCACAAUUGGAAUGGGACACGGCCCAAGCUCCUACGGGAGGCAGCAGGGGGGAAACCUCCGCAAUGGACGGAAGUCUGGCGGAGCAACGCCGCGGUGGGGAUGACGGCCUUCGGGUUGUAAAGCUCUGUUAAUCGGGACGCGUUACCGGAAUAGAAAGCCACGGCUAACUACGUGCCAGCAGCCGCGGUAAUUC
rnacentral:rRNA from 1 species